AUGGGAUGGGAAUGGGAGACGGUGCAGCACUUGGACCUCCGGCACGCCGGCGGCCGCCGCGGGGCCGGCGCCCCCGCGCGCCCGCUGCAGCCGCACGCCGCCGCCUUCCGCGCCUCCCAGGCCAUCGUCGCCGUCGCCGUCGGCACCCACGUCGUCGAAUUUGAUGCUUUGACUGGAAGCAAGAUAGCUUUGGUUGACCUUGGAGCUCGUGUUGUUCGUAUGGCAUAUAGCCCUACCUCUAGCCAUGUUAUCAUUGCUAUCCUUGAGGAUGCUACAAUCAGAUCAUGUGAUUUCGCUACCGAGCAGACGCUUGUGCUGCACUCACCUGAGAAAAAAACAGACCACGUUUCAAUAGACACAGAAGUUCAUCUUGCGUUGACACCUCUUGAACCUAUCGUUUUCUUCGGUUUUCACAAAAGAAUGAGUGUGACAGUUGUUGGGACUGUUGAAGGUGGGAGGCCACCAACAAAAAUAAAGACUGAUCUUAAAAAACCCAUUGUCAACCUGGCUUGCCAUCCUCGCCUUCCUGUGUUUUAUGUAGCUUAUGCUGAAGGCUUGGUACGCGCCUACAACGUCCAGACAUACGCUGUUCACUACACGUUACAACUUCCGGUUGACAGUACAAUUAAGCUCAUGGGAGCUGGUGCUUUUGGGUUUCAUCCGACCUUAGAGUGGGUAUUUAUUGGUGAUAGAGGGGGCACUCUCCUGGCAUGGGAUGUAUCAACUGAGAGGCCAAACAUGAUUGGGAUUACACAGGCUGGUUCUCAGCCAAUCACAUCUGUUUCCUGGCUUCCUACACUAAAGCUGCUCGUGACAAUUUCGAAGGAUGGGGGUCUUCAAGUAUGGAAGACACGAGUUAUUAUUAAUAACAAUAGACAACCAAUGGAAACUCAUUUCUUUGAGCGUGCUGCCAUUGAAACAAUGGACAUCACAAAGAUACUCACUCUACAAGGUGGUGAAGCAGUGUACCCUUUGCCUCGAAUAAAGAAUUUGGCAGUGCAUCCAAAGUUCAAUUUGGCUGCAGUGAUUUUUCAAGAUAUGUCUGCGACAGAAGCUGCAAAGAACAAGGCUGCAUACACAAGGGAAGGAAGGAGGCAGCUUUUUGCUGUACUACAGGGGGCUAGGGGGUCAACUGCUGCUGUUUUAAAGGAGAAACUUUUAGCCCUGGGUUCAUCCGGAAUUUUAGCAGAGCACCAACUCCAGGCGCAGCUUCAAGAGCAGCACUUGAAGGGCCAGAGCAAGCUAACUAUCUCAGAUGUUGCAAGGAAGGCUUUCCUUCACAGUCAUUUCAUGGAGGGACAUGCUAAAAGUGGUCCAAUCUCUCGUUUACCCCUUGUUACUAUUUCAGAUCCUGGCAACCUUUUGCGAGAUAUUCCUGUUUGUCAGCCAUUCCAUCUGGAGUUGAACUUCUUCAACCAGGAGAACCGUGUGGUUCAGUAUCCAGUUAGAGCUUUCUACUUGGAUGGAUUUAACCUGAUGGCCCAUAACCUAUCAUCUGGAGCUGAUAAUCUCUAUAAGAAGCUUUACUCUACGAUUCCCUCAAAUAUGGAAUGCCACCCCAAGUAUAUUUCAUAUAGCCCAAAGCAGCAUAUGUUUCUAGUUGUGUUUGAAUUAAGUGGUCCAAGUGGAGUGGCGCAUGAAGUUGUUCUUUACUGGGAGCAGACUGAUUUACAGACAGUAAACAGCAAAGGAAGUUCAAUAAAAGGUCGAGAUGCUACUUUUUUGGGACCGGAUGAUAAUCAAUAUGCUAUUCUGGAGGAAGACAGAACUAGCCUGAAUCUUUAUAAUCUCAAACCAAUAGCCACGAAGGAAGCUCUUGAAAAUAAUGCUGCCGUGCUCGAAGAAGAAGAAAACACAUUUGCUGAGAAUCCUACUGCUAAUCCAACACAAAAGCAAGGUCCUAUGCAGUUUACUUUUGAAUCCGAGGUCGAUCGCAUAUUUUCAUCUCCACAAGAAUCAUCCUUGUUGUAUGUGAUCUCGGGGAAACAUAUUGGACUGGCGAAGCUCCUGACUGGUUAUAGGUUAUCUACAGACAAUGGGCUAUCUAUUACCACAAAAACUGAUGGGAAGAAGUUUAUCAAGUUAAAGCCAAACGAAACUGUUCUUCAGGUCCACUGGCAGACAACUUUGAGAGGUCCUGUUGCCGGAAUAUUGACAAACCAAAGGGUACUAAUCGCCUCUGCUGAUCUUGAUAUACUUUCAAGCAGCUCAACCAAAUAUGAUCGUGGUCUCCCAUCAUAUCGGUCAAUGUUGUGGGUUGGACCAGCUCUCAUUUUCUCAAGUGCAACUGCAAUAAGUAUGCUUGGAUGGGACAACAAAGUUCGAUCAAUCCUUUCCACUAGCUUCCCUCGUUCUGUGUUGCUUGGUGCCCUGAACGACCGUCUGCUGCUUGUGAAUCCAACAGAUAUAAAUCCAAGACAGAAAAAGGGUGUGGAAAUAAGAAGCUGUCUAGUUGGUCUUCUUGAACCUCUUCUUAUUGGUUUUGCUACCAUGCAGCAACACUUUACACAAAAAAUCGAUCUUUCAGAAGUGCUAUACCAAAUAACAUCGAGGUUUGAUAGUCUGCGUGUUACUCCGAAGUCCCUGGACAUAUUAUCUAAGGGACCCCCUGUCUGUGGAGACCUUGCUGUAUCAUUAUCUCAAGCAGGACCUCAGUUUACACAAAUCAUGCGCUGCAAUUACGCCAUCAAAGCUCUCCGGUUCUCUGCUGCUUUAUCGAUUUUGAAAGAUGAGUUUCUGCGUUCCAGAGAUUAUCCUCAGUGCCCUCCCACUUCUCAUCUGUUCCAGCGUUUCCGAGAGUUGGGCUACGCAUGCAUUAAGUAUGGUCAGUUUGACAGUGCGAAAGAAACAUUUGAGGCUAUUGCAGAUCAUGAAAGCAUGCUGGAUCUGUUUAUAUGUCACCUGAACCCUAGUGCCCUGCGACGCCUUGCACAAAAGUUGGAGGAAUCUGGUACAGAUCCUGAGCUGAGACGUUAUCUAGAAAGAAUACUGAGAGUUCGUUCAACUGGAUGGACGCAAGGUGUCUUUGCCAAUUUUGCUGCUGAAAGUAUGGUGCCUAAAGGCCCGGAAUGGGCAGGAGGGAACUGGGAGAUCAAAACACCUACCAGCAUGAAGAGUAUUCCUCAGUGGGAGCUUGCAGGAGAGGUGAUGCCUUACAUGAGAACAACUGAUGCUGCCAUCCCAUCUGUUAUUGCAGAUCAUAUCGGUGUUUACUUGGGUGUGAUGAAGGGCCGGGGUAACGUAGUGGAAGUAAGCGAAAAGAGCUUGGUUAAAGCUAUGGCGGCGGCCAGUAGUGAGAAUGGGCAACCGGCAUCUUCUGAAUUGGCACUGAAAAACAAAGCAAAUGCUGCUAGUGAUUCAGUUGGUGAUAGUCUGGCCAGGCAGCUAGGGGUUCAAAUUGCUUCUGCAGAUGAACAGGCCAAAGCAGCGGAGGAGUUUAAAAAGACUCUCUAUGGUGUUGUUGAUGCUGGAAGCAGUGAUGAGGACGAGUCAACGUCGAAGACUAAAAGGAUACAAAUCAGGAUACGUGAUAAGCCCGCUGCACCUGCUGUUGAUGUUAACAAACUGAAAGAGGCCACGAAACAGCUAGGUUUGAUGGCUCCUCCGAUCAGUAGGACAAGGUCGUCUGGAACACCACAAGAAUUCAGUCAGCCAGCAGGCCCAGCACCAUCUGCUGCUCCAGCAAUGCCGAGUGGCGCAGUCGAUUUCUUUGGAACAAAUACUUUGGUGGCGCCACCACAAGCGCUGACCGGCGGCACGGGUCCUGUAAUCGGAGGCCUGGGAGUGACAGCUGGACCUAUUCCUGAGGACUUCUUCCAGAACACCGUUCCAUCACAGCAACUUGCGAAUCGACUGCCUCCUCCAGGAGCAAUCCUGCAAAGAAUGGCCAAUCCUGAGUCUGGGAUGAACGUCGGCAGACCGGUACCUACUCAAAACAUGAUGGGCAAUGUUGGUCUUCCAGAUGGUGGGGUGCCGCCACAGGGGCCACAGCAAGGCCAGUUCCCUCAGCAACAAGGCCAGUUCCCUCAGCAGCAAGGCAUUCCUAUGAACCCAAUUGGCCUACCUGAUGGUGGUGUACCUCCACAGAGCCAGGCUCUUCCUUCACAGCCACAGGGCUUUCAACCUGCUGCUCCUACUCCUUCGCAACCAAUUGAUCUCAGUGCUCUCGAGGGUCCAGGAGCGGCAAAGCAAGCUGCUCAGCCCCCAGCGCCUAAAGCCGUGCGUCCUGGCCAGGUACCCCGUGGCGCUCCUGCUGCAGAAUGCUACAGGAUGGGUCUUGCACAUCUUGAGCAGAAUCAGCUCACGGAUGCACUAAAUUGUUUGGAUGAAGCAUUCUUGGCCCUCGCCAAGGACCAAUCACGUGAAGCCGACAUCAAAGCGCAGGCUACCAUUUGUGCACAGUACAAGAUCGCCGUUUCAUUGCUACAGGAAAUUGCUCGGCUGCAAAGAGUCCAGGGAGCUGGCACGCUGAGCGCCAAGGAGGAGAUGGGCAGGCUGUCUCGGCAUCUGGCGUCCCUGCCCAUCCAGGCCAAGCACCGGAUCAACUGCAUCCGGACCGCCAUCAAGCGCAACAUGGAGGUCCAGAACUUCGCCUAUGCCAAGCAGAUGCUGGACCUGCUCUACUCCAAGGCGCCGCCGACCAAACAGGAUGAGCUCAAGAGUCUCAUCGACAUGUGCGUCCAGCGGGGGCUGACCAACAAGUCCAUCGACCCGUUCGAGGACCCCUCGCAGUUCUGUGCCGUCACCCUCAGCCGCCUCUCCACCAUCGGCCACGACGUUUGCGACCUCUGCGGCGCCAAGUUCUCCGCCCUCUCGGCCCCAGGCUGCGUCAUCUGCGGCAUGGGCAGCAUCAAGCGGUCCGAUGCCCUCGCCGGCGCUGGCCCUGUCGCCUCGCCCUUUGGCUAA
rnacentral:rRNA from 1 species